AAAAUAUUUGGCAGUGUAGCUUUCAGUUGGUUCACUGUUUAUUAUUGUUUUGGCCAUAUGAAUACUUUCAAGUUAUAGCACAACUUAAUAUUCAAGAGACUGAGGACCAGAAAUACAUUUUUAAAAA